GACGCUGGCGGAUGCUUACACCUGCAGGUUGAAACGGCAGCACGGACUUCGGUCUGGUGGCGAGUGGCGAACGGGUGAGUAAUGCAUCGGAACGUGCCCAAUCGUGGGGGAUAACGUAGCGAAAGUUACGCUAAUACCGCAUACGAUCUAAGGAUGAAAGCGGGGGAUCGCAAGACCUCGCGCGAAUGGAGCGGCCGAUGUUAGAUUAGGUAGUUGGUGGGGUAAAGGCUCACCAAGCCGACGAUCUAUAGCUGGUCUGAGAGGAUGAUCAGCCACACUGGGACUGAGACACGGCCCAGACUCCUACGGGAGGCAGCAGUGGGGAAUUUUGGACAAUGGGCGCAAGCCUGAUCCAGCCAUUCCGCGUGCAGGAUGAAGGCCCUCGGGUUGUAAACUGCUUUUGUACAGAACGAAAAGCUCUGGGUUAAUACCCUGGGGUCAUGACGGUACUGUAAGAAUAAGCACCGGCUAACUACGUGCCAGCAGCCGCGGUAAUACGUAGGGUGCAAGCGUUAAUCGGAAUUACUGGGCGUAAAGCGUGCGCAGGCGGUUAUGUAAGACAGAGGUGAAAUCCCCGGGCUCAACCUGGGAACUGCCUUUGUGACUGCAUAGCUAGAGUACGGCAGAGGGGGAUGGAAUUCCGCGUGUAGCAGUGAAAUGCGUAGAUAUGCGGAGGAACACCGAUGGCGAAGGCAAUCCCCUGGGCCUGUACUGACGC
rnacentral:rRNA from 1 species